GCCCAAUUUGAAAUUUUUGUAGCGAGGGUACUUAAAAAAAAAAAAAAAAAAUCGCCCACUCUGGCAACCUGCAGUUGAGUACGUGCUGGCGGCAGACAUGUGGUGGAGAAGUGAGGGUGUGACGUAAGAAAAAGGAAUGUGGAAAGAGGGUGACACAUGCAUGUGGGCAAUGAUGUUGAAUGAGGUUUCAUCUGGCAGGGUGAAAAAACCUCGUGGGAGUCUGCCUACGAGGUUUUUUUGCCCUGCCGGGUUAUCGAGUGCUGAGUUUUCAGGACUCUCCUGUAUUACUUUUUGGCCAAUCAAGUUUUUUUCUGAUGUUUUCAAACUAUGCCCAGACAAUGCCAGCUACAUUUUGCC
rnacentral:lncRNA from 1 species